GGCUCAGAUUGAACGCUGGCGGCAGGCCUAACACAUGCAAGUCGAGCGGUAGAGAGGUGCUUGCACCUCUUGAGAGCGGCGGACGGGUGAGUAAUGCCUAGGAAUCUGCCUGGUAGUGGGGGAUAACGCUCGGAAACGGACGCUAAUACCGCAUACGUCCUACGGGAGAAAGCAGGGGACCUUCGGGCCUUGCGCUAUCAGAUGAGCCUAGGUCGGAUUAGCUAGUUGGUGGGGUAAUGGCUCACCAAGGCGACGAUCCGUAACUGGUCUGAGAGGAUGAUCAGUCACACUGGAACUGAGACACGGUCCAGACUCCUACGGGAGGCAGCAGUGGGGAAUAUUGGACAAUGGGCGAAAGCCUGAUCCAGCCAUGCCGCGUGUGUGAAGAAGGUCUUCGGAUUGUAAAGCACUUUAAGUUGGGAGGAAGGGCAUUAACCUAAUACGUUAGUGUUUGA
rnacentral:rRNA from 1 species